AUAUAUAUAUUCGCAUUCUGACUUUUUCUAAAUGCCCACUUAAUGAGGUGUGUGAAUUUUUCUUAAUAAGACUAAGAGGCAAAGUGGUCAGUAUAUAGGGUAGAAAAAUCAAAAGCACCAAUCAAAAAAGCAUGCAAUUUAUCAAGUACCUCGAACCAAUUUUGACACUCCAAAAGUAACUUAUUAUUUUCAAAGGCUAUUUUUUUUAUCAGGCUAUUGAUUGGACCAAGUGUACUAGUAAGUAGAAUACAUAGUUUAGUAGGGGAGCAAUGGCUUGAAGACGAAAUAAAUCUUUGUUUGUAAUGAGCUAUGUGCUGCUUUGGGACCCA
rnacentral:lncRNA from 1 species